rnacentral:rRNA from 1 species
CCCUUAGAUGUUCUGGGCCGCACGCGUGCUACACUGAACGGUUCAAUGGGUAAGGUAGUGCGAAAGCAUGACCUAAUCUCGAAAUCCGUUCGUGCUGGGGAUAGAAGUUUGCAAUUAUCCUUCUUGAACGAGGAAUACCUUGUAAGCGUGAGUCAUCAUCUCACGCUGAAUACGUCCCUGCCCUUUGUACACACCGCCCGUCGCUCCUACCGAUUGAGUGUUCCGGUGAGGCUUUGGGAGAAUGGCCUCAACAUGAGUUUAUCGUGUUUUGCCGUUUGAACUUAGUCAAACCUUAUCACUUAGAGGAAGGAGAAGUCGUAACA